GACGAACGCUGGCGGCGUGCUUAACACAUGCAAGUCGAACGGUGAAGCGAGUGCUUGCACUCGUGGAUCAGUGGCGAACGGGUGAGUAACACGUGAGUAACCUGCCCAUCACUCUGGGAUAAGCACUGGAAACGGCGUCUAAUACUGGAUACGACCAACCCUUGCAUGGGGUGUUGGUGGAAAGAUUUAUCGGUGAUGGAUGGACUCGCGGCCUAUCAGCUUGUUGGCGGGGUAAUGGCCCACCAAGGCGACGACGGGUAGCCGGCCUGAGAGGGUGACCGGCCACACUGGGACUGAGACACGGCCCAGACUCCUACGGGAGGCAGCAGUGGGGAAUAUUGCACAAUGGGCGAAAGCCUGAUGCAGCGACGCCGCGUGAGGGAUGACGGCCUUCGGGUUGUAAACCUCUUUCAGCAGGGAAGAAGCGAAAGUGACGGUACCUGCAGAAGAAGCACCGGCUAAAUACGUG
rnacentral:rRNA from 1 species